ensembl:snRNA LOC120100184 U6 spliceosomal RNA
GUGCUUGCUUCGGCAGCACAUAUCCUAAAAUUGAAAGGAUACAGAGAAGGUAAGCAUGGCCCCUGUGCAAACAUAUGAUGUAUUCCACAUUUUU